rnacentral:rRNA from 1 species
CCAAUAGCGUAUAUUAAAGUUGUUGCAGUUAAAAAGCUCGUAGUUGAAUUUCGGGAUCAAUAUAUCGGUCGUGCCAUCGGUACGUACUGGUAUCAUUGGUUUCUCCUUUCUGACGAACCAUGAUGUCAUUAAUUUGGUGUUAUGGGAAGUUAGGACUGUUACUUUGAAAAAAUUAGAGUGUUUAAAGCAGGCUAACGCUUGAAUACAUUAGCAUGGAAUAAUGAAAUAGGACGUUCGAUCCUAUUUUGUUGGUUUCUAGGAUUGACGUAAUGAUUAAUAGGGAUAGUUGGGGGCAUUAGUAUUCAAUUGUCAGAGGUGAAAUUCUUGGAUUUAUUGAAGACUAACUACUGCGAAAGCAUUUGCCAAGGAUGUUUUCAUUAAUCAAGAACGAAAGUUAGGGGAUCGAAGACGAUCAGAUACCGUCGUAGUCUUAACCAUAAACUAUGCCGACUAGGGAUCGGAUGAUGUUAAUUUUUUAAUGACUCAUUCGGCGCCUUACG